GCCAAAGUGGUGGAAUUGGUAGACACGCUAGGUUUAGGUUCUAGUUCCUAUUAAUGGAGUAGGGGUUCAAGUCCCCUCUUUGGUA
rnacentral:tRNA from 1 species